UACGUAGGGCGCAAGCGUUAUCCGGAAUUAUUGGGCGUAAAGAGCUCGUAGGCGGUUUGUCGCGUCUGCCGUGAAAGCCCGGGGCUCAACUCCGGAUCUGCGGUGGGUACGGGCAGACUAGAGUGAUGUAGGGGAGACUGGAAUUCCUGGUGUAGCGGUGAAAUGCGCAGAUAUCAGGAGGAACACCGAUGGCGAAGGCAGGUCUCUGGGCCGAUACUGACGCUGAGAAGCGAAAGCAUGGGGAGCGAACAGG
rnacentral:rRNA from 1 species